rnacentral:rRNA from 1 species
CCAAUAGCGUAUAUUAAAGUUGUUGCAGUUAAAAAGCUCGUAGUUGAAUUUCGGGAUCAAUAUGUUGGUCGUGCCUUGGUACGUACUAGUUUAUUGAUUUCUUCCUUCUGACGAAUCAUGAUGUCAUUAAUUUGGUGUCAUGGGGAAUCAGGACUGUUACUUUGAAAAAAUUAGAGUGUUUAAAGCAGGCUCACGCUUGAAUACAUUAGCAUGGAAUAAUGAAAUAGGACGUUUGAUUCUAUUUUGUUGGUUUCUAGGAUCGACGUAAUGAUUAAUAGGGAUAGUUGGGGGCAUUAGUAUUCAAUUGUCAGAGGUGAAAUUCUUGGAUUUAUUGAAGACUAACUACUGCGAAAGCAUUUGCCAAGGAUGUUUUCAUUAAUCAAGAACGAAAGUUAGGGGAUCGAAGACGAUCAGAUACCGUCGUAGUCUUAACCAUAAACUAUGCCGACUAGGGAUCGGAUGAUGUUAAUUUUUUAAUUACUCAUUCGGUGCCUUACG